rnacentral:lncRNA from 10 species
GUCUUGAGACAGGGUCUCACUCUGUCACCAAGGCUAGAGUGCAGUGGUGAGAUCAGAGCUCACUGCAGCUUCCACUUCCUGGGCUCAAGCGAUCCUCCUAUUUCAGCCUCCAGAGUAGCUGGGACUAUACGAAUGUUUUACCGCACCCAGUUCAUUUUCUAAUUUUUUGUAGAGAUGAGGUUUCACUGUGUUGCUCAGGCUGGUCUUGAACUCCUGGCCUCACGGAAUCCUCCUGCCUUAGUCUCCCAGUGGGCUGGGAUUAUAGGUAUGAGCCACCUCACCUGACCUGCGACGAUUUUUCAAUGAUGUAAUUUCUCUUUUACAGAGCCACCUAAGCUGAAGAUUCCCUUGAGAACAAGUACUGUCCCUGGUUUCCCAGUGCUGGAAUAUAGAAAAUGGAUGGACAAGUAAAUCCCACUCAGCACCCAUAGUCCAGGCGUGGGGACCUCAACACACCUGAGCCCCAGACAUCACCUUUCAUUGCGAGUAGCUCUGAGAUGACACUUCUGCUGUUCCCAAUUCCAGCAUUAAUUGGAUUAGAUAGUUAUUUUAUGAAGAAUUUUCAUAUGCCACAAUCCUGACCAUAUCUUCAAGUGAACAGAAAAAUUCUAUUAAAAAGUCAACCUUCUGUCUCACUCUGUUGCCCAGACUGGAGUGCAGUGGUGCAAUUAUGGCUCACUGCAGCCUCAACCUCCUGGGCUCAAGCAAUCCUCCUGCCUCAGCCUCACAAGUAGCUGGGACUACAGGUGCUUGUCACCACACCUCACUAAUUUUCCCAUUUGUGUUAUAUGUGGAUUCCACAGGACUGACUUCGAAAACUUGAGUAUGCGUGGAUUUUGGUAUACACAGAAAUGGGAGAGCUGGAACUAAUCCCCCCAUAUACCAAGGGACAAAUUGUAUCUGUUUUUACAAUUAUACAGUAGGAGACAUUAUGUUCCAUGACAAUGGUAAUUUUUAACGACAGUUUUUAAUUGAGUGAAAUUACCAUAAAAAUAAUAAUAGUAGCAGCUAAUAUUUACUGAGCUGUUACUAGGUGCCUAUAAAUAGCAUAGAUUUUUAAAUUCUCCAUAAUUCUUCCUUAUUUCACUUAACCACUCUAUCUUAAAUUACUCAUGCUUGCCUCAGUAGCACACAUACUUAAGUUGGAACAAUAGAGAGAUUGGCACGGCCUCUGUGGAAGAAUGACAUGCAAAUUUGUGAAGCAUUCCAUAUUUUUUUAAAAAAAGAAAAAAAAAUUACUCCCAGAUUUUCACUGUGUUUGUGCAUAUGACCUUUUGUUUAGGUUGAAUUAUAUCCAAAGGUGAAAUUUCGAGAAGUGAGAUUACUGUGAGUCACAGGGCAUGAGCAUUCUUAUUACCCUCGAUGUAAAUUGCAAAGCUUUCAGGCAUGGUGGCUGUCAGCCUGUAAUUCCAGCACUUUGGGAGGCUGAGGUGGGAGGAUUGCUUGAGGCCAGGAGUUGGAGGAGGCAGUAUAAUGAGUCACUGUCUGUAUGAUUUAAAAAAAAUUUCCAAGCUUUAUGCUGGAAGGCUUAUAUACAUUUUAAACACCACUAAUACUACAAGAAAAUGGCCAUUUCACUGCACCUUCGCCCACACAGGUAUUAUAAUUUAACAAGUUAUUUUCUGUGUGAUAAAUGAAAGACCUCAUAUUAUUACUUUGUCACCCAUUCUUUUUUCUUUUUUGAGACACAGUCUCGCUCUGUUGACCAGGCUGGAGUGCAGUGGUGUGAUCUCGGCUCACUGCAACCUGUGCCUCCCAGGUUCAAGCGAUUCUCCUGCCUCAGCCUCCUGAGUAGCUGGGAUUACAGGCACAUGCCACCAUGCCUGGCUAAUUUUUGUAUUUUUAGUAGAAACGUGGUUUCACCAUGUUGAUCAGGCUGGUCUCGAACUCCUGAUCUCGUGAUCUACCCGCCUUGGCCUCCCAAAGUGCUUGAUUACAGCUGUGAGCCAUGUGCCCAGCCUAUUUGUCACAUAUUUUAUCUUUCCUUAUGUUAGCUUAUUAGCUUUAUUUCUUUAUUGUCCUUUUUUUUUUUUUUUUUUUUUGAGAUGAAGUCUCGCUCUGUCUCCUAGGCUUCAGUGUAGUGGCACAGUCUCAACUCACUGCAGCCUUGACCUCCUAGGCUCAGGUGAUCCUUCCACCUCAGUAGUUGGGACUAUAGGCACAUGCCACUAUGCCUGGCCAAUUAUUUUUAUUUUUUUAUUUUUACUAGAGAGGAGGUCUUGCUUUGUUUCUUAGGCUGGUCUGGAACUCCUGGCCUCAAGCAAUCCCCCCACCACCCCCUCCCAAAGUACUGGUAUUAUAAGCAUGAGCCACCAUGCCUGGGGUAUCUGUGUCUUUUCCAUUUAUUUAUAGAGUUACUUUGUCUUUUACUAAUUCAAUGAUCUGUUUAAUCUUUUAUUAAAUUAUAAAAAUAAUAAAUACUUUUAAAUAAGUGAAAAAUGUCCUUCACUCUUUAGACCCAUAAUCUUAUCUCAGGAAAUAAUUGCAGUUGAGAAAAUGGGCCAUAUCCUUCAAGAUACGUACAUGGUGAUUGAACAUCACUUCAUAUUUUCAUAUUUCGUGGACAUUUGUGCCAAUACCUAUUGAUCUAUCUUAAUCCUUUUCAUGGUUGCAUAAUAUUUUAUUAUAUGGAUGUGUCACAAUUUACCAGUACCAGUCAACUGCUGGAGGCAUUUAGGCUCCUUCUAAUAUUUGCUUUGAGCUCUUUAUAUAAUUAAAAAUUAACCCCCUCAGCCAGGUGUGGCAGCUCACACCUUUAAUCCCAGCAUUUUGGAAGGCUGAGGUGAGAGAACUGCCUGAGUGUAGGAGAUCACCACCAACCUGGUCAACAUAGUGACACUUUGUCUCUACUAAAAAUUAAAAAAAAAAAAAUGAGCUACACGUUGCAGUGCACACCUGUAGUCCGAGCUACUGGGGAGGCUAAGACUGGAGGAUCACUUGAGUCUAGAAGGUUGAGGCUGCAGUAAGCUAUGAUCACACCAUUGCACUUUAGCUUUGCUAAGAGCAAGACUGCACUUCUUAAACAAAAUAAAAAUUAGAUGGGAAUAUUGCUCAAGCCCUGGAGGUUGAGGCUGCAGUUAACUGUGAUUGCAGCACUGCAGUCCAGCCUAGGUGAUAGAGCAAGACCCUUUCUCUAAAAAUAAAAUAAAAUAAAAAUUAACCUUCUAUCAUAUUUCCCAGUAACACCUUCCCUCCUACAUUUCUCCUAGAAGCCCUUAAAUUUUGUUUUUCACAUAUCGUUUAAAACUUUUAAGCGCUGAUGUCUGUCUGUGUCAUCCCUCUUUUUUUUUUUUUUUUAAAUGUCUUUUUGUCACUUCUAGCUGGACCUACCAUGAAAGACUUCUGAAUCCAGGAAGAGAAACUGACUGGGCAACAUGUUAUUCAGAUGGGGUCUUCUUAUGUUGCCCAGGUUGGUCUCAAAUUCCUAGGCUCAAGUGAUUCCGCCCACCUCUGCCUCCCAAAGUGCUGGGAUUACGGGCAUGAGCCAGCGCAUCUGGCCACCUUAUUUUCUAUUACUGGCUCAAUGUAAUGGCUCCAUCUCAGGAACAGCCAAUGAAAGAGAUGCACAGGACAAGAGAUGGGACCUCAGUAUGUUGCCAUGGCUGACCUUGAACUCCU